UGGCGGACGGGUGAGUAACACGUGAGCAACCUGCCUUUCAGAGGGGGAUAACGUUUGGAAACGAACGCUAAUACCGCAUAACAUUGCUUUAAGGCAUCUUAAGGCAAUCAAAGGAGCAAUCCGCUGAAAGAUGGGCUCGCGUCCGAUUAGAUAGUUGGCGAGGGUAACGGCCCACCAAGUCGACGAUCGGUAGCCGGACUGAGAGGUUGAACGGCCACAUUGGGACUGAGACACGGCCCAGACUCCUACGGAAGGCAGCAG
rnacentral:rRNA from 1 species